rnacentral:lncRNA from 1 species
CAGCCUUCCUGAGUUCAAAUCCAUCUUCCUUCUCCCUACGUUCUAGCCAUAUAUCUUUGAGCAAGUCACUGUCUGUGCAUCAGUUUCCCUCUUUAAUUGGGGGCAGUGAUAAUAUUUACUUCAAAGUCCUAUUGGAGGGAACAGAAUGCCACUUCAUGAGGAACACAGAGUAAACACAGCAAUUUACAGGCAUCUUUCUGCUGCUCAGAGGAAGAUUCAGAAAUCACAUUGAUCUGAAACAGCAUCAUCUGGGAGCUUGUCAGAGAUCCACAGUCUCAAGCCUCCACCCCAGAACCACUGAGACAGAGUCUGAAGUUUUAAAGUCUCCAGGAGAUUUGUACACAUGUCAAGUCUAAGAAGCAAAGCGGUAGAACACAUUUU